UACGUAGGGUGCAAGCGUUAAUCGGAAUUACUGGGCGUAAAGCGUGCGCAGGCGGUUGUGUAAGUCAGAUGUGAAAUCCCCGGGCUCAACCUGGGAACUGCAUUUGUGACUGCAUCGCUGGAGUGCGGCAGAGGGGGAUGGAAUUCCGCGUGUAGCAGUGAAAUGCGUAGAUAUGCGGAGGAACACCGAUGGCGAAGGCAAUCCCCUGGGCCUGCACUGACGCUCAUGCACGAAAGCGUGGGGAGCAAACAGG
rnacentral:rRNA from 1 species